rnacentral:tRNA from 1 species
GGGGGUGUAGCUCAGUCGGCAGAGCAUCGGCCUUUUAAGCCGCUGGUCGUGGGUUCGAGUCCCACCGCCCCCA